rnacentral:rRNA from 1 species
GAUAGCUAAUACCCUAUAUUGCCUUUUGUCACUAAGGCAAAAGGUGAAAGCGAGGCUGUCAAAGGCUUCGGCUCAAAGAGGGGUUCGCGUCCUAUCAGGUAGUUGGUGGGGUAAUGGCCUACCAAGCCAAUGACGGGUAGCUGGUCUUAGAGGAUGAUCAGCCACAGUGGGACUGAGACACGGCCCGCACCCCUACGGGGGGCAGCAGUGGGGAAUCGUGGGCAAUGGGCGCAAGCCUGACCCCGCAAUGCCGCGUGAGGGAAGAAGCCCUUCGGGGUGUAAACCUCUGUCAGAUGGGAAGAUGGGACUAGGGGCUAAUACCUCCUGGUCUUGACGGUACCAUCAGAGGAAGGGACGGCUAACUACGUGCCAGCAGCCGCGGUAAUACGUAGGUCCCGAGCGUUGCGCGAUGUUACUGGGCGUAAAGCGUCCGUAGCUGGUUUCGUAAGCGGAUUGUCAAAGCCCGAAGCUCAACUUCGGCAAGGCAUUCCGAACUGCGUUACUUGAGUCCUGUUCAGGUAGGCGGAAUUCCCGGUGUAGCGGUGAAAUGCGUAGAUAUCGGGAGGAACACCAGUGGCGAAGGCGGCCUACUGGGACGGUACUGACGGUCAUGGACGAAAGCUGGGGGAGCAAACCGGAUUAGAUACCCGGGUAGUCCCAGCCGUAAACGAUGGAUGUUAGGUGUAGUGAUAACUUCGCUGCACCCCAGCUAACGCGUUAAACAUCCCGCCUGGGGAGUACGGGCGCAAGCCUGAAACUCAAAGGAAUUGGCGGGGGCCCGCACAACCGGUGGAGCGUCUGGUUUAAUUCGAUGCUAACCGAAAAACCUUACCAGGGUUUGAAAUGGUAGGAAAGGCUGUCGAAAGAUAGCCGUGUUUCCCUUUUGGGAGAAAUCCUACCACAGGUGGUGCAUGGCCGUCGUCAGCUCGUGUUGUGAGAUGUUGGGUUAAGUCCCGCAACGAGCGCAACCCUUGUCCUUAUUUGCUUCCUCGUAUGAGGUGCUCUAUAAGGAGACUGCCGGCGACAAGCCGGAGGAAGGAGGGGACGACGUCAGGUCAGUAUGCCCUUUAUGCUCUGGGCUACACAGGCGCUACAGUGGCAAGGACAAUGAGUAGCAAGAGUGUAAGCUCAAGCUAAUCUCACAAACCUUGUCGUGGUGCGAAUUGAAGGUUGAAACUCACCUUCAUGAAGCCGGAAUCGGUAGUAAUGGCGUAUCAGCUAUGUCGCCGUGAAUACGU